UGACUCUGCCCACGCAUGUGCUUCAGUGU
rnacentral:piRNA from 1 species